rnacentral:rRNA from 1 species
GGCGGACGGGUGAGUAACGCUUGGGAAUCUGCCUGUUAGUGGGGGACAACCAACCGAAAGGUUGGCUAAUACCGCAUACGCACUACGGUGGAAAGCCGGGGACCGCAAGGCCUGGCGCUAACAGAUGAGCCCAAGUCGGAUUAGCUAGUUGGUAGGGUAAUGGCCUACCAAGGCGACGAUCCGUAACUGGUCUGAGAGGACGACCAGUCACACCGGAACUGAGACACGGUCCGGACUCCUACGGGAGGCAGCAGUGGGGAAUAUUGGACAAUGGGGGAAACCCUGAUCCAGCGACGCCGCGUGGGUGAAGAGGGCCUGCGGGUUGUAAAGCCCUUUCGGUUGGGAAGAAAAGCUGCGACCUAACACGUCGCGGCCUUGACGUAACCAACUAAAGAAGCACCGGCUAACUCUGUGCCAGCAGCCGCGGUAAUACAGAGGGUGCGAGCGUUAAUCGGAAUUACUGGGCGUAAAGCGCGCGUAGGCGGCUUUGUAAGUCGGUUGUGAAAUCCCCGGGCUUAACCUGGGAACUGCAUCCGAGACUGCAUAGCUAGAGUAUGGGAGAGGGAAGUGGAAUUUCAGGUGUAGCGGUGAAAUGCGUAGAUAUCUGAAGGAACAUCAGUGGCGAAAGCGACUUCCUGGACCAAUACUGACGCUCAUGUGCGAAAGCGUGGGGAGCAAACAGGAUUAGAUACCCUGGUAGUCC